rnacentral:rRNA from 1 species
CUACGGGGCGCAGCAGUCGAGAAUAGUCUACAAUGGACGAAAGUCUGAUAGUGCGACGCCGCGUGGAUGAAGAAGCAUUUCGGUGUGUAAAGUCCUUUUCUGUGUGAGCAAUGUUUUCCAGGUUAAUAGCUUGGAGAAAGCGAUAUUAACACAGGAAUAAGCUCCGGCUAACUCCGUGCCAGCAGCCGCGGUAACACGGGGGGAGCAAGCGUUGUCCGGAAUUACUAGGCGUAAAGGGUAAGUAGGAUGAAUUGUAAGUCAGAUGUUAAAGGCACCGGCUCAACCGGUGUAUGGCAUUUGAUACUGGAAUUCUAGAGUAAGGUGGGGGAAGACGGAAUUCCUGGUGUAGCGGUGGAAUGCGCAGAUAUCAGGAGGAACACCAGAGGCGCAGGCGGUCUUCUAUACCAUUACUGACGCUCAAUUACGAAGGUGUGGGUAUCAAACAGGAUUAGAUACCCUGGUAGUC